rnacentral:rRNA from 1 species
GAUGAACGCUGGCGGCGUGCCUAAUACAUGCAAGUCGAGCGAACGGACGAGAAGCUUGCUUCUCUGAUGUUAGCGGCGGACGGGUGAGUAACACGUGGAUAACCUACCUAUAAGACUGGGAUAACUUCGGGAAACCGGAGCUAAUACCGGAUGAUAUUUUGAACCGCAUGGUUCAAAAGUGAAAGACGGUCUUGCUGUCACUUAUAGAUGGAUCCGCGCUGCAUUAGCUAGUUGGUAAGGUAACGGCUUACCAAGGCAACGAUGCAUAGCCGACCUGAGAGGGUGAUCGGCCACACUGGAACUGAGGCACGGUCCAGACUCCUACGGGAGGCAGCAGUAGGUAAUCUGCCGCAAUGGGCGAAAGCCUGACGGAGCAACGCCGCGUGAGUGAUGAAGGUCUUCGGAUCGUAAAACUCUGUUAUUAGGGAAGAACAUAUGUGUAAGUAACUGUGCACAUCUUGACGGUACCUAAUCAGAAAGCCACGGCUAACUACGUG